UGGCUCAGGAUGAACGCUGGCGGCGUGCCUAACACAUGCAAGUCGAGCGGAGAUCUGUGAAGUAGCAAUACCAACGGAUCUAGCGGCGGACGGGUGAGUAACACGUGAGUAAUCUGCCUUCGGCAGGGGAAUAACAUUGUGAAAACAGUGCUAAUACCGCAUGAUAUCCGACGUGGGGCAUCCCGGACGGAUCAAAGGAGUAAUCCGGCAGAAGAUGAACUCGCGUCCGAUUAGCUAGUUGGUGAGGUAGUGGCUCACCAAGGCGACGAUCGGUAGCCGAACUGAGAGGUUGAUCGGCCACAUUGGGACUGAGACACCGGCCCAGACUCCGUACGGGAGGCAGCAGGUAGGGGAAUUAGUUGGGCAAGUGGGCGCAAACGCCUCGACCCAGCAACGCCGCGUAGAAGGACGAAGGCCUUCGGGUUGUAAACUUCUUUGAUCAGGGACGAAACGAAUGACGGUACCUGAGGAACAAGCCACGGCUAACUACGUGCCAGCCGCCGC
rnacentral:rRNA from 1 species